ACUCAAAUGAAUUGACGGGGGCCCGCACAAGCAGUGGAUUAUGUGGUUUAAUUCGAAGCAACGCGAAGAACCUUACCGGGGCUUGACAUCCCCUGACCGCUCUGGAGACAGAGCUUCCCUUCGGGGCAGGGAGACAGGUGGUGCAUGGUUGUCGUCAGCUCGUGUCGUGAGAUGUUGGGUUAAGUCCCGCAACGAGCGCAACCCUUACUGUUAGUUGCUACGCAAGAGCACUCUAACGGGACUGCCGUUGACAAAACGGAGGAAGGUGGGGACGACGUCAAAUCAUCAUGCCCUUUAUGUCCCGGGCUACACACGUAAUACAAUGGCGCCCAACACAGGGAAGCAAAGCCGCGAGGCGGAGCAAAACCCCAAAAGGCGUCUCAGUUCGGAUCGCAGGCUGCAACUCGCCUGCGUGAAGUCGGAAUUGCUAGUAAUCGUGGAUCAUCAUGCCGCGGUGAAUACGUUCCCGGGCCUUGUACACACCGCCCGU
rnacentral:rRNA from 1 species